rnacentral:ncRNA from 1 species
GUAACAAGGUUUCCGCAUAAAGUCACGGAAUGGGAGUGAUUCCUUCCGCGGUUGAACACUUAUCGAAGCCUUGGAAUGCGGCCUCGCAAGAGGUAAGCCUGGCGACUCAUAAACAAUCCAGGCCUUGCGCAAGUUGGCGGCCCCCCGGGCCGCCGGCGACACUUUCGAACUGCGGGGACAUCCUUAGAGCUCAGGCCUACCAAACCGGCGGGGAAACCCGCCGGCGGCCCAUGUUAACGGCAUGGGGUACGGUAAGAAUGGUCUGAGAUUGGACAAUCCGCAGCCAAGCCCCUACGGCCGCCCUCUCUCGGGUGCGCUACGGGGAAGGUUCACAGACUAAGUGGAAGUGGGUAGGGCCCGUCGCGGCCCUGCUUAAGAUAUAGUCGGGCCCCGAGGGAAACCUCGGGGGGAAGUUCACCGCUUCAAGAAACCGUUCCGUAGGUGAACCUGCGGAAGGAUCAUUA